GUAAUGUUGUUUUCCUCAUAGUUUCCGGUGCAUAUUAACUCUAUCCUUCACUUGUGUGAUUACAUUGUGUAUUUGUUGUAUCCCCAGACCUCACUCGAAGAGCUGAAGGACGUAAGCUGAAGAACUGAUUUCAUCAAAUUUGUUUACUAGAGGAAUUGAUAUUCAAGCAGUUAACGUUGUUAUAAAUUCUGAUUUUCCUAAGAACUCAGAAACGUAUUUGCACAGGGGAAAUGGAGGUGAUCAAAUUUGAAGUG